CGAAUCCUGCUCGGCCUACACUUUUCCCUGUGAAAAGACAGGGAUUGCGUGAACUUUUGUUCGUUAUGGUGACUGUCAGCUGGUGGUUUACUCCAUGAAGUACCUUAUUGUUCCCAAGUAAGGGUUUGGAAGCGAAUCUGGACACAAGUCGUGGUCAGUCUAAAUUUAUACCUUGCUCUUUUCGUCUGUAUGUGGAUUAUCGGGAUCUUCACUUGGUUGUUUACUUGAGAAGAGUGCAUUGUUUUCAUGAACUUUCAUUUCCUCUUCGACGAACGCGUUGCCGCUUCUUCCGCCCGUAAUUGGGCCGAUAGUUCAGUUGGAUAGAAUGCCCGGCUACGGACCGGGUGGUCGUGGGUUCGAAUCCUGCUCGGCCUACACUUUUUCCUGUGCCUUCUUUUUAGGCUCGCUGUUGUUUAUCAAGAUCUCCAAUUAACAGUCUGCUCCACAUGUUUCUAUCGCUCUAGUGGAAGUGUUCUCUUUGACUAAUGCAUGCCCACAUCGUGGAUGAUCAAGACCCUUCAGCAAGCAUAGCAAACACGCCGAGUGAGCACCAGUCCUAUAAUGCGGCCAGGUCGCGCUAGCGCGGUACCUUACAGUGAGUUACAGACAGUUACAAUUUCUUUUUCUGGGCAUCACUGAUGGAGCGCCACAAGUGUUCAGAGAUUCGGAGUUGAAGCAACCGUGACAGUUCGCCUCUGUUCAAUCUCGUCUUCAAAAGCAGAAGGAAACCUAAAAUGUCGGUAACUGCAUUUAUUUUCACGGCCGUAGGAUUGAGAAAAUGAAAAUUCCCGCUCAGCACCUACCAGAUAACCAGUCGUUGUCAGCACCUUGCAAAAAUGUCCUUGUCAUGUCUUCGUGAGAGCCGAAGAAAUCAAGUGCUCCUACCGGUCCGGUUUCCGCAAAACAACUGGUUCCAUGGCCCUUGUCCCGUCCAUUCAGAAAAAGUUGAGUUGCGUCCAUCGACUACACAAGGUUAGUGUUUAGCGACGAUGCCUUCAGGGCACUAAACGAAACACACUCUGUCAGUAGUAUUUCCACUUUCUCAAAUGGCCUUGCUUUCUACUCAAGACUGAGGCGUCGGCAAAAACUUGUGACCAAUGCAACCAAUCGAUUAAAGUUUUCUUUCUCCGCCGCACAGUUGGGAGGGACUUGAGGUGCACGACAGGCUCUCUAUCGUUCAUCCGGAACUCAAAAACAGACUGCCGGGGUUGCUGCCGCAUGUGACGGAUCAACCAAUAAGCUAUUUCGUUCCUGCUGUCCCACCCUAAUCCGCACGUUACUGCACAGCCUUUGUGGACAAGUCGAAGACACGUUCACUUGCAGAAUGCCCUUUCUCUGUCGCGAGGUCUCUCGCCCGUCUGCGGUUGCAUUGCUUUCCUUCCUGAAGAACAACUCUAAAUCCACUUGCACGCUGGUUUCGUCCCCUAGGUUUUUGCCGUGCACCUUCACUCCUUCCACUAGGUAACUACAAAAGGUUGGGCUCCUCUCUUCCCACGCACAGUUUCCGCCGUGCGGAGAACCCUCGAUGUAAACCGUUGGAAUAAAUGUCUCUGAGAUGAGAUUCAGAGAUUAUCACUCCCACGGCGACGGUGCUCAACAAAAUGCCAACACCGGGGGAGUCGUUUCUCCCGGUGUUGACGCGAGUGAUCAGAGGAAUCCAUCUUCUACCCCUAGAAAAACCGAUGUGGAAGAACCCGAGUAUCGUUGGCAACCGAAAUCCACCUUGCUUUUCCUCGGAACUAUACAUGCAU
rnacentral:tRNA from 1 species